CGGCGCGCGCGGAUUGGGCGCCUGGGGCUGUGCGGGACGCCGGCCGCAGCUCUCCCUCCAGCGCCCCGACGCUGCCCCUAUUCCCGCCCACUCACGGAGAGGGAAACUGAGGCGCGCCGCAGUUGCCACGUUGGAGGGGACCAAACGGCAAGGAACCGAAUGCUGCCAACAUCUAGUGAGUGAGCUUAGACGCAAAUUCUUCCCCAGCCAGCCUGCGAAUGAGACCACAGCCCAGGCCGAGAGCCUGUGAGAGACCCUGAGCUGGAGGAGGCCACGCCCAGACUCCUGCCCCACAACAACCGGGCCGCAGCAAUGUGCUCAAGCUGACAGCACUGUCCUCAACAGCAGCCCUCCACAGUAUUGAGUGCCACAUUCUCCAAAGCAAGUCUGUGACCUAAGGCUGAGGCCAGCUCGGCAAAGGCAGCCCUUUUCUAAGCAUCUAACCUGAGUCUGGUGGUUUACUUUCCCGACACGAUGGCAGAAGGCAAGGCCCCGUGCUUUAAGCAGUUCAGAACGGUGAUGGGAGCAGGGGCUCUGGAUCCAGACCGCCUGGGGUCAGGAUCCGGAUUUUCUCCCCAGGUAACUGUGGGACCCUGGGCCUUUCCCUGAGGCUUUCUGAAUUCAGUUUCCUUAUCCAUCGCAUGGGGCAGAGCUACUACUUACUUUACAGGGCUGAUGGCAGAAGGACAUGAAAUAAUACGGACCCAAGGCUGAGCCCAAUGCUGGCAAAUGUAGAUGCUUCAUGCAUAUCAACUCUUGUUCUGUUCACGGAGGGUGCUUGGAGAGCAGCCUUCGAAUGCUGUAUCCCAGGCACGUGGGGCUCGUCCCUGACUCACCACCAACCUUUCCGCUCUACACCCACCUACAUCCUAUAGUAACUCCGGAUGCCAGCCCGUCGUCAACUCACCAGGCCUUGCUCGUGCAGUGUCCUCUUCCCACGUCUGCCUCGCUCACGUACACAUUGUAGUUUCGUGGUUGUGUUUUUAAAAGGAAUCCUCAUCUUUGGAGAGCCUCAAACCAGCGUGUUUGCAGAUGAAAUGAUCCGAUGUCGGGGAUUUGCUUCAAAGUCAUGGCAGUCUCUAAGACGACAAUGAUUCCCCGGGACCAGCUUAUUUAAAGCAAAAAAAAAUCCAGUGGCAGAGGGGACGUGGGGGACCUGGAUGAGAUCUGUGAAGCCUCGGUGGAUGCUGUGUGGGAUCUAUGAGAACCCCAGGCCCUGUGGAGGUCCGUGGGGGUCCCCGAAGGCAGAAGUGAUGCUGAGCUGUACCCCCACCUGGACAACGGAUGGCCCUGAUCCUCUCUGCUCAGAAAUGCCCAUUGCGACGGAUGGAUGUGUGUGUCCCCACCACCCCGCCCCCCAGCAGGUCCACAAGGUGAAACCUCACCCCCAGCAGGAUGGUGUGAGAAGGUGGGGCUUUGGGGAGGCCUGGUGGAUGGGGGCGGAGCCCUCAUGAAUGGGAUCGGUGCCCUGAUGAAAGCAACCCCACGGAGGUCCCUGCCCGCUUGCACCAUAUGAUGACAUCUGGGUCAUCGGCCACUGAAUCGGCUGGCCCCUUGGCCUGGGACAUCCCAAUCCCCGGAACUGUGAGAAAUACAUCUGUGUUGUCUCUGAGCUGGUCCUACUGGGGCCUUCUGUCCUAGGAGCCCAAACCCACCAAGAUAUGCAGCGUGACGUGCUCUGGGCCACAUUCUUCAUGCUUGCAACCUCCCGAUGGGGCCCGCGGUGCACAAAGCAGCCCAGUGAGAGAACACACCCACCUUCCCAGUCCUGGCUUCCAGAUGGUGCCGGCCUGGCCUCCAGGUUUCCACGGUGGGGAAGGGAUGCCCUCCCCGCCCUCUGGAGUCCUCGAGACCCGCCUGUUCCAGGCUCUCGCCUGGUGGCGGAGAGGGGAAUGCUUUUUCCCGCCUUUCUCCGGGCUCCGUGACACAGGCACCUGGGUCACAGAUGUGUCCCGCAGGGAGACAAAGGUGGCGAUGACCUAACCACCCCCACAACGGGCAGUUCCUUGAAAAGGCGUGAGUCCCCAGCUCUUUCGGAAAGCAGCUCUCGGCGGAGUGUAUCAGGGGCCGGAAAGGUAGACGCUUCCCUCUCCAGCGAUCACACUUCUGGGAACUUGCCCGAAGGAACUAAUCCUAAAAAAAGAGAAAAGAAAGACCACACACCCAGGGAUAUCUACCAAGGUGACAAGUAUAAUAGGAAAUCAUUGGGUGCAACCGGUAGGUUCGCCCUUGUAGGCAUUUUAAAAAUGAAGUCAGGGAGGCUCUUUAUGGAAAAUAUGGACUCUGUAAUGCUAAACAGAAAACAGAAAACACAAUGGCCAUUGCGGGGUGGGGGGCGCCUGUUCCGUUUUCGAAAAUGAAGACUGACGUCUUAAGGCGUGUUUCCUUUUUGGAUGGUCCCGUGGCUUUCUGGAGGGGAAGAGAAGGACGAGUGGAAAAAACCCGGGGAGGCCCUGGAAACCCUCUGGGAGGGAGCGCCCUUCGGGACAGGGCUUUGGCCUUUUCCACAUCAAAAACUAGUUGACAGUUCAGACAGCCCAGCCUCUUUCCUGGAGACUGAGGCAGGCAUGUUUAUGUUUUCUAAAAGGUUUUUAAAGUUCUUUAUGUUAUUGCAAAAGCAAAGCAAUGCGUGCUCAUUGUUUAAAAAAAAACAACAACAACACGGAAUUGUAUAAAGUAAGGCUGCUGCCCGUGGCCUCCUUCUCUUCAGAGGGGGCCACCUUGAGUCCUUUCUUUCUUUUCAUUUUUUUCCGUUUCCAGG